rnacentral:rRNA from 1 species
GACGAACGCUGGCGGCGUGCUUAACACAUGCAAGUCGAACGGAAAGGCCCUGCUUUUGUGGGGUGCUCGAGUGGCGAACGGGUGAGUAACACGUGAGUAACCUGCCCUUGACUUUGGGAUAACUUCAGGAAACUGGGGCUAAUACCGGAUAGGAGCUCCUGCUGCAUGGUGGGGGUUGGAAAGUUUCGGCGGUUGGGGAUGGACUCGCGGCUUAUCCGCUUGUUGGUGGGGUAGUGGCUUACCAAGGUUGUGACGGGUAGCCGGCCUGAGAGGCUGACCGGCCACAUUGGGACUGAGAUACGGCCCAGACUCCUACGGGAGGCAGUAGUGGGGAAUAUUGCACAAUGGGCGGAAGCCUGAUGCAGCAACGCCGCGUGCGGGAUGACGGCCUUCGGGUUGUAAACCGCUUUCGCCUGUGACGAAGCGUGAGUGACGGUAAUGGGUAAAGAAGCACCGGCUAACUACGUG